UACGUAGGCAGCGAGCGUUGUUCGGAAUUACUGGGCGUAAAGAGUGUGUAGGCGGUGCUCUAAGUUCGGUGUGAAAUCUCCUGGCUCAACUGGGAGGGUGCGCCGGAAACUGGAGUGCUUGAGCGUGGGAGAGGAAAGCGGAAUUCCUGGUGUAGCGGUGAAAUGCGUAGAUAUCAGGAGGAACACCUGCGGUGUAGACGGCUUUCUGGACCAUUGUUGACGCUGAGACACGAAAGCGUGGGUAGCAAACAGG
rnacentral:rRNA from 1 species